rnacentral:rRNA from 1 species
GAUGAACGCUGGCGGCGUGCCUAAUACAUGCAAGUCGAGCGAACAGACGAGGAGCUUGCUCCUCUGACGUUAGCGGCGGACGGGUGAGUAACACGUGGAUAACCUACCUAUAAGACUGGGAUAACUUCGGGAAACCGGAGCUAAUACCGGAUAAUAUAUUGAACCGCAUGGUUCAAUAGUGAAAGACGGUUUUGCUGUCACUUAUAGGUGGAUCCGCGCCGCAUUAGCUAGUUGGUAAGGUAACGGCUUACCAAGGCAACGAUGCGUAGCCGACCUGAGAGGGUGAUCGGCCACACUGGAACUGAGACACGGUCCAGACUCCUGCGGGAGGCAGCAGUAGGGAAUCUUCCGCAAUGGGCGAAAGCCUGACGGAGCAACGCCGCGUGAGUGAUGAAGGUCUUCGGAUCGUAAAACUCUGUUAUUAGGGAAGAACAAAUGUGUAAGUAACUAUGCACGUCUUGACGGUACCUAAUCAGAAAGCCACGGCUAACUACGUG